UACGAAGGGGGCUAGCGUUGUUCGGAAUUACUGGGCGUAAAGGGCGCGUAGGCGGUACUUCAAGUCAGGCGUGAAAGCCCCGGGCUCAACCUGGGAACCGCGCUUGAGACUGGAGAACUAGAGUUCGGGAGAGGAUGGUGGAAUUCCCAGUGUAGAGGUGAAAUUCGUAGAUAUUGGGAAGAACACCGAUGGCGAAGGCAGCCAUCUGGACCGACACUGACGCUGAGGCGCGAAAGCGUGGGGAGCAAAACAGG
rnacentral:rRNA from 1 species